AUUUUGAAAAGUGACUUCCAAGCCAGGCUAACAAAUAAAAAAUAAAAAAGGCAACUUCAACAGCACAACACGUACUUUCAGCUUUGAGGAGACGAGAGGGGGCAGGCCAACCAGCCACAGACCCAGCGCUUCUGGGCUUCGAACAACAAACUGCAGCUCUCAGAGACAAAAGGCUGCUGCAAUCGCCAAUGUGGAUAACUCCUCCCCUUUGCGGAUAGGCGACAUAAUUGGAGGAGGACAAAGUCACACGUUGACAA